rnacentral:rRNA from 1 species
GAGUUUGAUCCUGGCUACAGAUUGGAACGCUAGGCGGCAGGCCUAACCACACUGCAAGUCGAGCGGAUGACGGGAGCUUGCUCCUUGAUUCAGCGGCGGACGGGUGAGUAAUGCCUAGGAAUCUGCCUGGUAGUGGGGGACAACGUUUCGAAAGGAACGCUAAUACCGCAUACGUCCUACGGGAGAAAGCAGGGGACCUUCGGGCCUUGCGCUAUCAGAUGAGCCUAGGUCGGAUUAGCUAGUUGGUGGGGUAAUGGCUCACCAAGGCGACGAUCCGUAACUGGUCUGAGAGGAUGAUCAGUCA